rnacentral:lncRNA from 1 species
CCAGGGCCCCUCGGGCUUGGAGCACCUGCUGCGGCCCGAAGGCCCUCGGCUCCGCUUCCCACAGGCCCGGGGGAUGUUGCCGGAGGUCGGGGUUUUGAGUGUCGACAGAUCUGCAUUCGGAUAGUGAAGCUGGAAGUGCGGCAGGGAGGCUGACACCUUGGGGAACAGCUCAGAGCUGUGCCUGGGGUGGGUGGGGCUGGGCUUUGCGGACUGGCGACUUUGCCAGAGUGGAUCGCCCGAUGCCAGAGGCCUCGGAAGGACCAGGGUGGAGGGGAGGAGCAGGACCCGACCGCCGGGAGGUCGCUCAAAGGCCCGGUGGUGUGGACGGUGUGGCUGGGUUUGAGGGGCCCAGCAAGCCCGGCCUAGGUCCCCGGGACGGGAGGCCGAUGCGGUCCGGUCGCUGGGGUCGCGGUCGCAGAAGGGAUCCCCCAGGAUGUCUCUCUUUGGCCAUCCCAACCUUGGCCACCAGAGGGAGUUUACUAAAGUCGAGUAUGGCUCGUCCCUGCUUAAAAGUCGAGCUCGGGAGUGGGGCCAGCACUGAGGAAGGUCCAACUGCUGGGCUCCUGCCUGCCCGUGAACCUCACCCCAGCCUUCCCUGCAACCUACCUCAGGUGCACAAGAGGAAGCAGAGCACCAGCAGUUGCCAUUACGGGGAACUAGUAAAAAGCCUGGCUGUCGAGCAGUGGUUUCACCAAGAAGCAUUCAUGAGUUCUUCCCCUCAGAUUAGGAAGGGCACAAGCCUGACUUCGUGGCACUCAUCCCACACAAGUUAG